ensembl:snRNA U6 U6 spliceosomal RNA
CUUAAAAUAAUAAUACUAAAAUAAAAUAAAAUAGGAAUGAUACAGAGGAGCUUAGCAUGGUCCUUGAGUAAGAAUGGCAUCCAAAUCCAUGAAGUCUUCCAAAUUAUU